GUGCCAGCCGCCGCGGUAAUACGGAGGAUCCAAGCGUUAUCCGGAAUCAUUGGGUUUAAAGGGUCCGUAGGUGGAUAAUUAAGUCAGAGGUGAAAUCUUGCAGCUCAACUGUAAAAUUGCCUUUGAUACUGGUUAUCUUGAGUUAUUAUGAAGUAGUUAGAAUAUGUAGUGUAGCGGUGAAAUGCAUAGAUAUUACAUAGAAUACCAAUUGCGAAGGCAGAUUACUAAUAAUCAACUGACACUGAUGGACGAAAGCGUGGGUAGCGAACAGGAUUAGAUACCCUGGUAGUCCACGCCGUAAACGAUGGUUACUAGCUGUUUGGACCCUGUGUCUGAGUGGCUAAGCGAAAGUGAUAAGUAACCCACCUGGGGAGUACGUUCGCAAGAAUGAAACUCAAAGGAAUUGACGGGGGCCCGCACAAGCGGUGGAGCAUGUGGUUUAAUUCGAUGAUACGCGAGGAACCUUACCAGGGCUUAAAUGUAAGUUGCAUUAGUUAGAGAUAGCUAUUUCUUCGGACCACUUACAAGGUGCUGCAUGGUUGUCGUCAGCUCGUGCCGUGAGGUGUCAGGUUAAGUCCUAUAACGAGCGCAACCCCUGUUGUUAGUUGCCAGCGAGUCAUGUCGGGAACUCUAACAAGACUGCCGGUGCAAACCGUGAGGAAGGUGGGGAUGACGUCAAAUCAUCACGGCCCUUACGUCCUGGGCUACACACGUGCUACAAUGGUCGGUA
rnacentral:rRNA from 1 species